AUUGAACGCUGGCGGCAUGCUUUACACAUGCAAGUCGAACGGCAGCGCGGGGCAACCUGGCGGCGAGUGGCGAACGGGUGAGUAAUACAUCGGAACGUACCCAGAAGUGGGGGAUAACGUAGCGAAAGUUACGCUAAUACCGCAUACGUUCUACGGAAGAAAGUGGGGGAUCUUCGGACCUCAUGCUUUUGGAGCGGCCGAUGUCUGAUUAGCUAGUUGGUGAGGUAAAGGCUCACCAAGGCGACGAUCAGUAGCUGGUCUGAGAGGACGACCAGCCACACUGGGACUGAGACACGGCCCAGACUCCUACGGGAGGCAGCAGUGGGGAAUUUUGGACAAUGGGCGAAAGCCUGAUCCAGCAAUGCCGCGUGAGUGAAGAAGGCCUUCGGGUUGUAAAGCUCUUUUGUCAGGGAAGAAACGGCUGGGGCUAAUAUCUCCGGCUAAUGACGGUACCUGAAGAAUAAGCACCGGCUAACUACGUGCCAGCAGCCGCCGUAAAAC
rnacentral:rRNA from 1 species